rnacentral:rRNA from 1 species
GACAAGCUCCAAGAUCUUUAAUUUUUUAAAAAAUCGAUUUCAGAAACAUCUAUGAUGCCAAGUAAUGGUGAAAGAAAGGACAAUCUUUAACUUAAAAGUACCGAGAGGGAAAAAGAUAAUUGAAUUUUAAGUAGUUAGAACGACGUACUUUUUGCAUCACGGCCUAGCAAGAAAACACUUAGUAAUUAGGUAUCUCGAAGGCUGACGAGCUAUCUUCUUUUGACAUUUUAGGGUCUAAAUUUUUUAAGCUGUAAAUGUGGCAAAAUUUUAGUAAAAAAAGAAGAUAGUUACGAGAUGUUACUCGCGUUAGCGAUAGCUAGUUCUUCUAGAAAGAUAUAUUAGUAUCGGAUUGAGAGUUGAUAACCAGAAAAGUUAUUUAGGCUUCUACCUCGCAUCUAAUAUUUCUAAGGAUAAGCUUAGAAAUAAACCUAAUAAUAUCUUAUAGUGUGGACAAUCUUUUAUGUAGGCUUGAAAUUAGCCACCAUACAUGACUCUGUUACAAGUCAAUUUUAGUAGCCCAAAAGAUUUUUCUAUCAUAAUUUUAAAAAUAUAGAAGUAUAGGCUUUUACCUGUAAGCCUUACACAUAUGCUAGGAUGAGUAUUAAGAUCUUCUAUCAAAGCGAAUUAUAAAGAACACUUACCCAGACAACAAACAAAAAUCAAAAACAGGAAAAAGGAACUCGGCAAAUUAACGCUUCGCCUGUUUAUCAAAAACAUGGCUCCUUGCUAAACACAUAUAAGGAGUCGGACCUGCCCAGUGAAAAGUUUUAACGGCCGCGGUACUCUGACCGUGCAAAGGUAGCAUAAUCACUUGCCUUAUAAUUGAAGGCUAGUAUGAAUGGUUUGACGAGAGCGCUUCUGUCUCUAUCCUGUUUUAUAGAACUUAACUUUCAGGUGAAGAGGCCUGUAUAAUAUUGAAGGACGAGAAGACCCUGUCGAGCUUUAAGACAAAAAGGAAAACUAUAUAUUUAUAAAUACAAAACCUUUUUUAUCUUUUGGUUGGGGCGACUAGGGAACAAUUAAAGCUUCCCUUAUUUUUAAGACUUUUUUGUUAGGAUCCAGCAUUACUUUUGUUGAUUAAAAAAAUUAGUUACCGCAGGGAUAACAGCAUAAUCCUUCUUGAGAGAUCUUAUCGAAAGAAGGGGUUGUGACCUCGAUGUUGGACUAGGAUAUCCUAAGGGUGCAGAAGCCUUCAAGGGUUGGUCUGUUCGACCAUUAAAAUCCUACGUGAUCUGAGUA